GCCCGGUUAGCUCAGUCGGUAGAGCAUCAGACUUUUAAUCUGAGGGUCGUGGGUUCAAGAACCAUGUCGGGCG
rnacentral:tRNA from 1 species